rnacentral:rRNA from 1 species
AGCCUUAUGUAUUUAAUAUAAGGUUUUUUCUGCCCGGUGAUAGUUUAACGGCCGCAGUNCCCUGACUGUGCUAAGGUAGCAUAAUAAAUUGACUUUUAAUUGAAGUCUGGUAUGAAUGGAAGAAUGGGGGGGGGCUAUCUUAAUAGAAUUUUAUUAAAGUUACUUAAAAGGUGAAAAUACCUUUAAUAUAUGAUUAAAGACGAGAAGACCCUUAGAAUUUUAAUUUUUUUAGUUUAAAACUAUAAUAUUUUUGUUGGGGUGACAGAGUAGAAUUCGAGAACCUACUUAUAUAGAUUAGUCGGGCUAGCCAGGGAAGAAAAAAUUACCUAAGGGAUAACAGCAUAAUUUUUUUUUUAGAUUGUGACCUCGAUGUUGGACUAGGAACUUUAUAAUAAGAAAUUAAUAGAGAGGGUUCUGUUCGAACUUGUACUCCU